rnacentral:rRNA from 1 species
GGUUGUAAUCUCGAGAAGUGUUUUCCGUGAUAGACCGCAUACAAGUCUCUUGGAACAGAGCGUCAUAGUGGUGAGAACCCAGUACACGAUGCGGAUGCCUAUUACUUUGUGAUACACUUUCGAAGAGUCGAGUUGUUUGGGAAUGCAGCUCAAAUUGGGUGGUAAAUUCCAUCUAAAGCUAAAUAUUGGCGAGAGACCGAUAGCGAACAAGUACCGUGAGGGAAAGAUGAAAAGCACUUUGGAAAGAGAGUUAACAGUACGUGAAAUUGUUGGAAGGGAAACACAUGCAGUGAUACUUGCUAUUCGGGGCAACUCGAUUGGCAGGCCCGCAUCAGUUUUUCGGGGCGGAAAAUCAUAGAGAGAAGGUAGCAGUCUCGGCUGUGUUAUAGCUCUUUAUUGGAUUCGCCCUGGGGGACUGAGGAACGCAGCGUGCUUUUUGCAUGAGCUUCGGCUUAUCCACGCUUAGGAUGCGGGUUUAUGGCUGUAUAUGACCCGUCUU